AGAGAUGAAGCGGGGGGGCG
rnacentral:miRNA from 1 species